UGAGGGGGGCUGCUCCUAGUACGAGAGGACCGGAGUGGACGCAUCACUGGUGUUCGGGUUGUCAUGCCAAUGGCACUGCCCGGUAGCUAAAUGCGGAAGAGAUAAGUGCUGAAAGCAUCUAAGCACGAAACUUGCCCCGAGAUGAGUUCUCCCUGACUCCUUGAGAGUCCUGAAGGAACGUUGAAGACGACGACGUUGAUAGGCCGGGUGUGUAAGCGCAGCGAUGCGUUGAGCUAAUCGGUACUAAUGAACCGUGAGGCUUAACCUU
rnacentral:rRNA from 1 species